GAUGAACGCUGGCGGCGUGCCUAAUACUUGCAAGUCGAGCGAACGGACGAGAAGCUUGCUUCUCUGAUGUUAGCGGCGGACGGGUGAGUACCACGUGGAUAACCUACCUAUAAGACUGGGAUAACUUCGGGAAACCGGAGCUAAUACCGGAUGAUAUUUUGAACCGCAUGGUUCAAAAGUGAAAGACGGUCUUGCUGUCACUUAUAGAUGGAUCCGCGCUGCAUUAGCUAGUUGGUAAGGUAACGGCUUACCAAGGCAACGAUGCAUAGCCGACCUGAGAGGGUGAUCGGCCACACUGGAACUGAGACACGGUCCAGACUCCUACGGGAGGCAGCAGUAGGGAAUCUUCCGCAAUGGGCGAAAGCCUGACGGAGCAACGCCGCGUGAGUGAUGAAGGUCUUCGGAUCGUAAAACUCUGUUAUUAGGGAAGAACAUAUGUGUAAGUAACUGUGCACAUCUUGACGGUACCUAAUCAGAAAGCCACGGCUAACUACGUG
rnacentral:rRNA from 1 species